rnacentral:rRNA from 1 species
UACGGAGGGGGCAAGCGUUGUUCGGAAUUACUGGGCGUAAAGCGCGCGUAGGCGGACCUGCAAGUCGGGGGUGAAAGCCCGAGGCUCAACCUCGGAACUGCCUUCGAUACUGCGGGUCUCGAGUCCGGGAGAGGUGAGUGGAAUUCCUAGUGUAGAGGUGAAAUUCGUAGAUAUUAGGAAGAACACCAGUGGCGAAGGCGGCUCACUGGCCCGGUACUGACGCUGAGGCGCGAAAGCGUGGGGAGCAAACAGG